rnacentral:pre_miRNA from 1 species
CAACUACUCCCUUUGUCCCAAAUUUCUUGUCUUAGAUUUGUCUAGAUACGGAUGUAUCUAAUAGUAAAAUGUGACUUGAUACAUCUGUAUCUAGACAAAUCUAACACAAGAAUUUUGGGACGGAGGGAGUACUUU